UACGUAGGGUGCAAGCGUUGUCCGGAAUUAUUGGGCGUAAAGAGCUCGUAGGCGGUCUGUCACGUCGGCUGUGAAAACCCGAGGCUCAACCUCGGGCCUGCAGUCGAUACGGGCAGACUAGAGUUCGGUAGGGGAGACUGGAAUUCCUGGUGUAGCGGUGAAAUGCGCAGAUAUCAGGAGGAACACCCGUAGCGAAGGCGGCACUCUGGGCCGAUUCUGACACUGAGGAGCGAAAGCGUGGGGAGCGAACAGG
rnacentral:rRNA from 1 species